AUUACAUGUAUUUAGUGUAUUAUUGGGGCAGCAGGGUAGUGGUUAGAAUGUUAUGUAAGGAUCAGACUGUAUAGGCUAUAUUACAUGUAUUUAGUGUAUUAUUGGGGCAGCAGGUUAGUGGUUAGAAUGUUAUGUAAGGAUCAGACUGUAUAGGCUAUAUUACAUGUAUUUAGUGUAUUAUUGGGGCAGCAGGUUAGUGGUUAGAAUGUUAUGUAAGGAUCAGACUGUAUAGGCUAUAUUACAUGUAUUUAGUGUAUUAUUGGGGCAGCAGGUUAGUGGUUAGAAUGUUAUGUAAGGAUCAGACUGUAUAGGCUAUAUUACAUGUAUUUAGUGUAUUAUUGGGGCAGCAGGUUAGUGGUUAGAAUGUUAUGUAAGGAUCAGACUGUAUAGGCUAUAUUACAUGUAUUUAGUGUAUUAUUGGGGCAGCAGGUUAGUGGUUAGAAUGUUAUGUAAGGAUCAGACUGUAUAGGCUAUAUUACAUGUAUUUAGUGUAUUAUUGGGGCAGCAGGGUAGUGGUUAGAAUGUUAUGUAAGGAUCAGACUGUAUAGGCUAUAUUACAUGUAUUUAGUGUAUUAUUGGGGCAGCAGGGUAGCCUAGUGGUUAGAAUGUUAUGUAAGGAUCAGACUGUAUAGGCUAUAUUACAUGUAUUUAGUGUAUUAUUGGGGCAGCAGGGUAGCCUAGUGGUUAGAAUGUUAUGUAAGGAUCAGACUGUAUAGGCUAUAUUACAUGUAUUUAGUGUAUUAUUGGGGCAGCAGGGUAGCCUAGUGGUUAGAA